AGCGAGGGGCUGAGGCUCGACCAUGGCUGUCGCCCGAGGGCGACCGAGAGUCAGGCUAGCUGGUGGGGGCGUGUGAGGGCGGCUUUGCCUCCGCCUCUGCUCACUUCCUUUCUCAGGAAUGGUGGGCGCCGUCCCCACCCCUCACUGGCAGUGACGGUGGACAACAAAGGGGCUCGGGGUGGCGGCCAGACAAAGAGUUGCAGCGCCGGGGGAAGUUGGGAACAAAGGUAGGGGGCUGGGAGCUUCAGGGAGACGCGCUACAAGAACCCCAAAGCAGAAAGUGCCUUUGUCUCCUGGGCUGCCCAAACUUGCGGAAAGCCGGGUGGUCCUACCUCACCCGCCGCCCACCUGGGCCUGAUCGGCCGCGCUGGGACGAUGCCCUCACCGCGCAUCCAGCUGAGAGGGAAACAGGUCGGACCUGGGCAGCGCCCGAGGGAAAGCCUGGGUAGCCAGCGGCCGGCAUGUAAAGGCCCCGCCUCCUCAAAGGAAAGGCUGCUGGGUCUCUUGCUGAACUGAAGCUUGCUGUCUGACUGGGCUGACUGACCAAGGAGCUCCUGGGAUCUACUUGUCUCCAUCCCCCAUCCCCCAUCUCCCCAGGGCUGGGGUAAAAGGCACCAAGUCUGGCUUUUAUAUGGGGGCUGGGGAUUCAAACUCAAGUCCUAAUGCUUAUAGCACAAGCAUUCUUAUACAUCCAUAUAGUUUAAAAGAAAAACAGAAACAAAUACACAUGUAGCACUGUAAUUUAAAAUAUUUCACGUUACACAUGAGCAACAUUGAGAUUUAAGUCUAAAACACGUUUACUAUUUCCAAAGUUGUAUCAAGAUUUCUUUACAAAGAUAUAGCUUACUUAAUGUCUGAGACAAUUUAUGUGAGUAUUUCAAAGCCUACCCCUUUCAGAUAGGAUGUGAACAUACAAGCAUAUUUCAAAUAAAGGUACUUGUCAAAUCGA
rnacentral:lncRNA from 1 species